rnacentral:pre_miRNA from 1 species
UUGGAAGAUUUGAAGACUUCAACUUGCAUACUUGGAGGAUUUGAAGAUUUGAACUUGCAGACUUGGGGAAUUUGAAGACUUCAACU